CAGUUGGAACCAAUAAAUGAGGGUCUGCUCGCUCGAAUCUCGGAUCUCUUGCUGUGCCGCUGGACUUGCAGGAAUUGUUGUCAGAAGUGUUUUGACUGUAGCUGUUGUCAAACAAAUGAAGAUGAAGUUGAAAUCCUGGGACCGUUUCCUGCUCAAACUCCAGCCUGGCUGAUGAGCAGCCAGGACGAGGAGAAGGACGGGGACUCCGACCGUGGCAGCGGCGAGCCGCGGGGCGCUUCCCCGGGCAGA